UUGGAGGGCAAGUCUGGUGCCAGCAGCCGCGGUAAUUCCAGCUCCAAUAGCGUAUAUUAAAGUUGUUGCAGUUAAAAAGCUCGUAGUUGAAUUUCGGGAUCAGAUUGUUGGUCGUGCCUCGGUACGUACUGGCAUUAUUGGUUCCUACCUUCUGAAGAACCGCGAUGUCAUUAAUUUGGUGUCGUGGGGAAUCAGGACUGUUACUUUGAAAAAAUUAGAGUGUUUAAAGCAGGCUAACGCCUGAAUACAUUAGCAUGGAAUAAUGAAAUAGGACGUUCGAUCCUAUUUUGUUGGUUUCUAGGAUUGACGUAAUGAUUAAUAGGGAUAGUUGGGGGCAUUAGUAUUCAAUUGUCAGAGGUGAAAUUCUUGGAUUUAUUGAAGACUAACUACUGCGAAAGCAUUUGCCAAGGAUGUUGUCAUUAAUCAAGAACGAAAGUUAGGGGAUCGAAGACGAUCAGAUACCGUCGUAGUCUUAACCAUAAACUAUGCCGACUAGGGGUCGGAUGAUGUUAAUUUUUUAAUGACUCAUUCGGCGCCUUACGGGAAAC
rnacentral:rRNA from 1 species